rnacentral:rRNA from 1 species
UACAGAGGUCCCAAGCGUUGUUCGGAUUCACUGGGCGUAAAGGGUGCGUAGGUGGCCGGGUAAGUCUGUUGUGAAAUCCCGCAGCUCAACUGCGGAACUGCAACGGAUACUCUCCGGCUAGAGGUAUGGAGGGGAGACUGGAAUUCUCGGUGUAGCAGUGAAAUGCGUAGAUAUCGAGAGGAACACCAGUGGCGAAGGCGAGUCUCUGGACAUUACCUGACACUGAGGCACGAAAGCCAGGGGAGCAAACGGG